CGUGCCUUGGAGUCCCAUGAGUUCUGCAUUGUUAUAGCACUCGUACCUAGCAGUCCGAUAAGGUGUACACUGCAAUCGCCCUUUGAUUUCCGAUAGCCGACUCACGAGCUAAAUUAGAAUGCGAAUUUGAUUCGUUUCGUCGGUCGAUUCGGAUUUAAAAUAAAAUACAUUAGCCUGCGUGUUGCACCGCGUGAAAUACUGGUAUGUGGUAUGUGUAAUUAAGUGUUUGUUUUAUACAACAGAUUCAUGCGUGCUCGUAAUAUGUAGAUCAUUUUAGUCAUUGCAUACAAACUUGAGCGGGGUGUUUAAAAUGUAGAAUUAAAUUCUCUACUACUACGUUUGUGUAUAAACAACUUUUUGUUCGACUGACGCGUAAACGCGACGUACCUGCCUUGUACCUGGCAACGCGCAGCGCACACGGCAGUCGUUACACCGCGUGGUCCGCAAGCGUGUCUUUCUAAUCGCCACGCGUUUUGAGGUUUUAAUUAAAUUAAUCGACUGUAUUCUUUCGGCCAUCAGCAAAAUAUUCGGAAUGGGCAUGUGCGGCAGUUUUGUUUAAUGAUUUGUUGCGGUUAGAGUGUUCUUAACUAAUCUCUGCGCGAGUUUUCAGUUGGUAGAAUAUAUUACAGGAUAUAAAAUCUCCUCAUUAAAGCAAAUGUAUGUGUGUAAUAAAUUUUUUCAUGGAAACUUAAGGCGGUGUAACUUAAAUUGAUUAUUCCAUUUGAGGGAUACUAUUUUUGCAUGUAAGAUCUUGCAAAUUACAAACACGUGGUAGCAGUUUUAUCAAAAUUCUUAAUCGCGUUUCGGAAAAUAAUGUGCAUG